CCGUAGGCCCGCCCCCAUUGGCUGGGCUGACAGCGCAUGGGCGGGGCCAGGCGUGGGAGCGACAAGGAUGGCGGCCGCCACGGCGCUGAUCCUGCCGGAGAGCCCCAGCAUGAAAAAAGCAGUGUCGCUGAUAAAUGCAAUAGAAAUAGGAAGGUUUCCACGGUUGCUCACCCGAAUUCUUCAAAAACUUCACCUGAAGGCUGAGAGCAGUUUCAGUGAAGAAGAAGAAGAAAAACUUCAGGCCGCAUUUUCUCUAGAGAAACAAGAUCUUCACUUAGUUCUUGAAACAGUAUCAUUCAUUUUAGAACAGGCAGUGUAUCACAACGUGAAGCCAGCGGCUCUGCAGCAGCAGUUAGAGACCAUUCAUCUCAGACAAGACAAAGCAGAAGCGUUCAGCAAUGCUUGGUCUUCUAUGGGUCACGAAACAGUUGAAAAAUUCAGGCAGAGGAUUCUUGCUCCCCACAAGCUUGAGACAGUCGAAUGGCAGCUUAACCUUCAGAUGGCUCACUCUGCUCAGGCGAAACUGAAAUCUCCUCAGGCUGUAUUACAGCUAGGAGUGAGCAAUGAAGAUUCAAAGAUGCCUCCCGGCACCAGUCCACUGUUACCGGUGGGGAGCAGGGAACAUGGCCAGAAAUACUAAGAUCCCCUACUUUGGCGGUUUCAUUCCUGUUACCUUCAUUUCCCAAGAGCAUGGAGAAAGUUCUUGUGGAAUUCAGUCACAAAGAGUUGUUUGAUUUCUACAACAAGCUGGAGACCAUACAAGCACAGCUGGAUUCCCUUACAUGAUGUUCUCUAAGACCGGUUCCUCCAUCACACUCCUGCCACCUCAUCAUUCUGCUCUGAAGAUAGACUGCCAGGUUGUGUUUUCUGAAGGAUUCAGUAGCUUUCUUCUUAUAAACUGCACAGCUUAUCACUUCAUAGAGAAAUAACAGCCAAGGGAGAUGAUUGUUUUUAGAGCUCCUAACACACAUUCUCUCGCUCUGUAAGCCAAGGGCAAACAAUUGUUAAGAAUACUUUCACUUUAAAGGGAACAGUAAAUACCAUACUGUUAUUACUGUCUUGUUUUCGCUUUAUUGCCUGACCUGUUUAUUUUUACAUAUUUGAGGAUACUUUAUGUAUCAAGGAGGAUCCAUGGAUACAAAGUACGAUGUGUAGCUUAGAAUACAGAACUCCAGUAAUUACAUUAAUAAAAGCAAAGAAAGCAACCAAAUGCAAUAAAAAACUUUAUUUUUCCUUGAAUAUAAUGAUGUUUUGCUUGGGAAAUAUAGGAAAGAAAUUUAAAAUAGAGCAAGUAGUAGUAUAUCAGUUAAUUCCACUGUGAGCUUCUGAAUACACUUUAAUUUUUUUCAUUGAGUGUAAUGAUCUAAUGAUAGUCUAGGUUUUCAUGUGCUUUUCUUUGUACUACAAAUUAAUAAUGAUUCACUUCAUAGUAUGGAAGACAGGUUCAGACCAUCAAUAAAAAUAAUUGUCAUGAGUGCUAAAUAAGUAUCCUUAAAAUUUCAAAACCGAUACCUUUUACAUUUUCUUCCUAUAAAUAUGUUAAUUUAUUUUAGUCCAUUAAAUGUUUAUGUUUUAGAAUUAGGUGAACUGAGGUACACACAGAAUUUUAUGCGGUGAUUAUAUAAAUGUGAGUAUGGUCGCCUAUAAAAAAAAAAUACUACCAGUUGAAAUUUUAUGACUGAAAUACUUGUUCUAUAUUCUUUCUACAAAGAAAGACAGGAGGAGGGAGUGGGAAGAUAGAAGGGGGAAAAUUGAGGAAGACAGAGAUUUUUUUUUUUUUUUUUUGAGGAAGACAGAGAUUGAUUGGAGUCAAACACAACUUUCUUCAUAUGAAGAAAUUUGAUUUCAGAAAUGUCCUAUGGUUAAACAAACAGCCACUGAAAUUAAAUCACAUUCCUUCUAUGAGGUAUCUGCAUCAUAUAAGUGCUGAAGGUCUCUCAAAUAAAUGUUCAAUAUUUGGAA